UACCGUAGGGAGCAGCUCCUCCCACCUGCACAUAAAAGCCAAGUGCAUGCUACCAGGAGCUGAUCAGAGCACUUUCUCAGUCCUCCACUGUUUUGAGCCAGUGAUCUUCUCUCCUUGGAUCUUGUACACUCAAGAAACAGAAGAAAAAGCGGAUUGUCAGAAUCACUCAGAUUUGAUAUUCAGCACUGUUAUGAUCUCUUCAUUACUGGAUGUCGAGUCUAGAUAUCACAACCAGCGUAUUAAAGGACUCUCCUAUUAAUCUGAGGUGAUGGGCAGCACUGCAUGCACAGCAAGCAAAGUGAAAAGACUGGCAGCUCAAGAGCCAAUUGUGAAUCAUCAAAACUUUUCCCUGGAUAAACUCAGGAGUAAUCCUGGUAGGUUUUGUGGCAAUUUUUUAAAUUUCACUCCC
rnacentral:lncRNA from 1 species